rnacentral:rRNA from 1 species
AACGAACGCUGGCGGCAGGCCUAACACAUGCAAGUCGAGCGAGGACUUCGGUCCUAGCGGCGGACGGGUGAGUAACGCGUGGGAACGUGCCCUUUGCUUCGGAAUAGCCCUGGGAAACUGGGAGUAAUACCGGAUGAGCCCUUUGGGGGAAAGAUUUAUCGGCGAAGGAUCGGCCCGCGUUGGAUUAGGUAGUUGGUGGGGUAAUGGCCUACCAAGGCGACGAUCCAUAGCUGGUUUGAGAGGAUGAUCAGCCACACUGGGACUGAGACACGGCCCAGACUCCUACGGGAGGCAGCAGUGGGGAAUCUUAGACAAUGGGGGAAAGCCUGAUCUAGCCAUGCCGCGUGAGCGAUGAAGGCCUUAGGGUUGUAAAGCUCUUUCAGCUGGGAAGAUAAUGACGGUACCAGCAGAAGAAGCCCCGGCUAACUCCGUG